UUGUAUCAGCGAGUAGAGGUUACUGGGAAAGAUAUUCCUGGUGUUGUUGCUUAUGUUGGUAGUACUAUGUUUACAACUGCAAAAUGGGUUGGUAUUAUACUUGAUGAACCGAAAGGAAAGAAUAAUGGAAGUCCUCGGAAAAUCAUAUUUUCAAUGCAAAGAGAACCAUGGGAUGUUUGUGCGACAAUCACUGCUGACUUUAUUAGAUGAUUGUGGUAUCCCAAUCAGUGAUACAACAAGUCCAUCUCCAGGUGCUUUCACUGCAACUACUCCUGAUGAUGGUAGAAAAUCAUGAUCCAGAUUAAGCAGGUGUCUGAAUGAACCAGGAGGUCUUUGCGUCGGUCAUGCCAGUCAUCAGCUGUACGUUGCUGACACCAACAACCACUGUCCACUAGGAGGAUAAAACAAUUGAGAAGGUAAAGACCUGCUGCACUAGGGCCAGCGCACACGUAAGACUUAACCGUCGGCUGACUGUUCUGUCGUUGUCGGCUGAAGCAUACGACCCAUAAACGACACGACAGUUCAGUCCACGAGCAUGCGCACAC